UACGUAGGGGGCUAGCGUUGUCCGGAAUCAUUGGGCGUAAAGCGCGUGUAGGCGGUCCGGUAAGUCCGCUGUGAAAGUCGGGGGCUCAACCCUCGAAUGCCGGUGGAUACUGUCGGGCUAGAGUGCGGAAGAGGCGAGUGGAAUUCCUGGUGUAGCGGUGAAAUGCGCAGAUAUCAGGAGGAACACCAAUUGCGAAGGCAGCUCGCUGGGACGGUACUGACGCUGAGACGCGAAAGCGUGGGGAGCGAACAGG
rnacentral:rRNA from 1 species